GGGAGGGCCAGGACCCUGGUGGCUGCUGGGACAUGGCAGGUUCCACGACAGGGAAGGAUGCAGACACACUGCCCUGUGUUUCUCACCCACAGGGAACUUGCAACAAUUUCAGUUGCAAGUUUACAGCGAGGUUUGGUUUUGAACUGAAGCUCUUCUGGAUGCCAUGUUUUGGAAGCUGGUGGUAGGGCCGAGCUCUGCGACUCUGCUGCCUGAGGCUUUCCCUCCUAAAGCAGGCCUCAGCAGAGGCUGCUAAGGCCAAGGUCAACAACAUGCGCUUUGCAGGCAAAAUUUUUACAUCACAAGGUUCGAGCACAGGAAGAACCCCUAGACCAAUAUUUCCCAAAAUGUGUCCCCCCAUCACCACAGAAAGGAGGUUUUGUGGUCAAAAAACAAGGGGAAAGUGCUUGCUGAACACCAAACAGUUUUCUUCCUGCAGGUAUUUGCAGAGUCUUUAAUAUGCUAAUGAACUUGUAAUUGAGAGGACGUGGAAGACCAGCUUUUUCCAGACAUAGUUGCCCAUGGAACCUUCUUGGUGAGACACCCACUAGCAUCUGGAACACAAUUUACUGCUCUUGGUUUUAAAGAAAAAAGGAAAGUUAAGAGGUUAAGGGAUUUGCCUGAGGUCACGUGACCUGUGUACCCAAGGUCAGAAGCAGUUCCAGACCAACGCCUACUCCCCUGCAGACUCACCUGUGCACAGGUGUCCUGCCGCCUCCAGGAUUUUGCAUUUCUGAUGACCGAGUGGCCCCACCCAGACCCAUGACUCUUGGCUCAACUGCUCCUGAAGCUCCCACCCAGAAGUGAACUCACAGCAUGAGAACCAUUUUCCACACCUCUAUGAUUGCAUCCCCAACUAAUCAGCAGCACCCAUUCCCCUAGCCCCUGCCCACCAAACUAUCCUUAGCCCUAGCCUCCAAAUUUUCAGGGAGACUGACUUGAGUAAUAAAACUCCGGUCUCCUGUUCAGCUGGCUCUGUGUGUAUUCAACUCUUUCUCUAUUGCAAUUCUUCUGUUCCUGAUAAAUUGGCUGUAUCUGGGCAGGGGGCAAGGAGAACACACUGGGCAGUUACACCAACACCCCAACUACGCUCUCUUCAGUUAGACUGCCUUUCCAUAUCACCCCAAACUGAACAUGAUUGAAGGUCAAUUUUGUAAUGGAAACUGAGCCAUUUGCCCCAGUGUUAAAUGUACAUAUUGAUCAUGGAUUGCUUGGAACUACUCGUGCCACAACUCACUUCAGCAUUGAUUUAUGUGAUGGUGAAAUCUGUUGGGGAACUGGAAGAACAAGAGAAUCUAACCAAAACAGUGGACUUAGGAAAUCCCUGCAGAAUCCCUGCUCGCUCCCAUCUCGCAAAACCCUACAUCAAUCACACCGCCAGCUCGCAGCAAGACUCAGGUAGCCCCACAACUGGGGAUGUGAGUGAAGGCCCUCCUGCUGCAGCCCAGGGCCGAGGGCAAGCCUCGGAUGAGAGGGGUUUAUUUAGCACCCUCAGAAGACAGCUGGUUAGUGUAAAUGUGUUUUAGAAACUGGCCUGGGCAUAAUUAAAGUCUAUGUGGCCUCUCCUCUCCUGAUCUCUCAUUUCUAGUAUCCAGACCAGAAAAUAAAGGGAGUCAUGAUCUUUUCUUGUUGGAUAGAAAUAAACUUCCAAGCUCCUUGUUGCUUCUGCAAUGGUCCUCAAGCUGGAGAUCACCAGCCACUGAGGUGAAGAACACAGGAGAAGGGGACACAGGGCCCAUAGGAUUUCUGGACUGAAAUCAAGGACACAGCAACAGAAGAGAAGAGACAGAGCCAAGAAACACUGUCUCACCACCCAAGCUGCUCAGGUGUGACAUGCACCAUCAGAGUCCUUCACCCCUGCCAUGGAGGCUGUGCAGGGGAAACCAGGAUGUCCAGAGCAUGCAGAGCCCUGCAGGUCCCCUUCAGCCAUGAGCAGCCUCGUCCCACCAGCACCUCCCAGUAUGAGUGGUGCAAAUGUUAUUCUCUGCAUGGGCGGGGAGGUGAGGAAGGCCAGGGCACCCUUGCAGGAGGAUGCUCUCCUGCCCCUCCCAUGCUGGCUUAAGCACCCUUUCUCAAUGCUGCCAUGGAUAGAGAUCCCAAGCUGACUGCCCUCCAGCGGCCCUUAUGGUGUCAUUCACUGCAUGCAUGGCAUGACUCGUGAGAGCUGCUGUAGCCUUCACUUCCCAUAUUCCCAGGACUUUGCACAUUAAUAGAUGGUCAAUAGAACUCUCACCAAACACUUGCCACAAGGCAGGCGCUGUUUAUAACACAAUCAAGUAUUAGUAUAAACAUGUGAGGUAGGUGCUAUUCUAAUCCCCAUUUUAAAGAUAUGGAAACUGAGGCAUGGAGAAUUUGUGUUACUUGCCCAGGGUCAGCCAGAUAUACGCAGGCCUCAAACCCUGGCAGUUUGGCUACUGGGCUGUGUUCUUGACCAUGUGUCAUUCUAUCUCUUAAGAAAUGUGUGUUGACCGCAUGUUCUCACUCAUAGGUGGGAAUUGAACAAUGAGAACACUUGGACACAGGGU
rnacentral:lncRNA from 10 species